UGUCAAUAUCAUGAUAAAUGUUUUGUCUCCACAGGAAAAUAAUUUAUUAGUGGGAAUAUUUUUUUUAAUUGUUCUAAACUAGAUAAAAUCUAACACUAUAAAAAAAUUUCUAGAGCAAGACUAGGACAAAAUUAUCUCAAAAUGGAGCAGAAUAAGGAGUGUACCCACAGUCUGGCAUAACUGAAGCAUUAAUUACUGGAAAAGGCUACCAGAAAUAUUUAAAGGAAUGGCAUCUGUAACAAAAUGGUGCUUUUCUGCUGUAUUCCAGGCAAGCAAAUAUAUGAGUCACCAUCUGAAAUAUGAUGCUAAGAAAACAUUGCAACUGCAAUUGGUUGGUUUCAGGAGCGUAUUAUAUUUAUGAAAACCUGAAGUUUUAUCCUUCAUAUUAAAAAAAAAAAAAAAAAAAAAGUGUUCUCUCCUUGAGAUCUUUGAUUUCCUUUGCCUAAUUUCUAGAUUCAGAAAGCAAAUUAUUUUGUAAUUAUUUUACUAUAUUUUUUUUUCAGCUACAUAGCCUCCUUGUGCUUGCAUUAAUUUGAUGUGCAUCCAUCUUAAUUGAAGCUGAUCCAUCUCAAUCUUGGCAGCACAUUGAUAAUAAACAGGAACCAAACACCAUUUGGCAAAUUCCAAUCUACCAGCAAAACCAGGGAGAAAGCAGAAAACCUGGGGCCAUCUCUUGGAAUCAGUUUCUGGGCUGCAACUCAAUCUUCAUGUGCCAAGCUGCUUGUAAACAGCGAGGGCCUUUGUUUAAUUGUUGGGUGUUCGUGAACCUCUGAAGAUUGCUGUGCUCCACCUUUCAGCGUUUAGCUGAGUACAUCGUCUCCAAGACCUUUCACCAAGCAUCCAUCAGCAAGGAGUUCAAGCUAAGCAAGACAUUACCCCGUUCCAGAGGCUGAGCAAAUCACAUGCCUACCCUGUAACUAAUUACUUCUAUUGGCUGAUUGGUUUUUAAUGCAUCUGUUUUACAGGUUCAUGAAGACUCACCUGUGCUGGACCAUGAAACAGCAGCUGCACCUGCAUGAAAACCUUCUGAACGUGGCAUUAAGACAGACAUCGGGGUGGUCGCUGCUGUUCAAGAGCUUGCCCAUGGUGAAAAUGGCCUCACUCCCUUGGGUCUGACAUAAAGAGGAGAGAAACAGCAAAAAAUUCUUUGCUGGAAAUCAGGAUGGGUCCUUGGACUUUGCUGAGCCUGUUUGUUGAUGUGACCUGAGCACAUGGCUCCCUGGGUGGGUGGGAGUCUCACACCUCCAACUUGAUGGAUGGAACAACAGUGGUGGAUGAGCUGUUACUUGCCUGAAAAAAAGUGUUUUGGGGGAAAAUUGUCUCCAGUCAUUCUCAUUUUGCAUGUGAUUUUUCCUACAUAUGUUUCUAAUCAUUAAGAAAUUCUGUAGCUUAAAUAAUGCUCUGAAAGUACGGUAACUGUUGGACUACAUUCUGUUGUAACCUUAUUGAAUUUCACUUCUCUGGAAAAAAUAAUGGGAUACUAUAUCUUGAA
rnacentral:lncRNA from 1 species